ensembl:processed_transcript
UUCAAGCCUCCUUUGAGCUAUGGAGCAAGACUGCUACAAAGGGGUUAAGGAGGGAGAGAGACAUCAACUGUCUUGCACUAUAUUGUCUAUAGAGACUUCAGAACUACACAUACUUUUUUAUUAUGUGGAAUUGGGAAAAGAACACUAGAUGAUUUUAUGAUUUACAUUUUUACCUUUAUUGCCUAAUUUCUUUUCACACUUGGAAGAAGGGAAUUUAUCCAAGUUUUUCUACAAACUAAAAAAACCUGGCAAGAAAUGCCAUAUUGCAUGUUUAAAAAGCAUUAAAAUAUUGAUUCAUUAAGAAAAUCAAGUAGGCAUACUGUAAUGUCUUUAAAUGAUUAGUAUAUUUUGGUGGAUUAAAUCUUUACAAUUAAAAAUAUUUAAUUGAAAUUUUGAUUUUUGUUGUUAGAGAUUUGAAGCCGAUUCAACACUGUGACCUUUUCUCCUUCUUUGCUGUUUGACGUUCGCACUGGUGCAGUCUUGGAAGACUGUUGUCUCAAUUCUGUGUAUUGCUGGGAUACAUACUUUGAAGAGCAAGGAGUCCUUUGUUGUUGAUUCUAAACUUGUGUUGUAUGUCUACUUUGUAGACAAAAAUAAAUGCUUAUUGACAAAAAUUUUUCUAUGUAACAAAUUUUAUUUAGCAUAAUCAGCCCCAACAUUCAGCACAAAAAGUUUACAGAGAAUAGAAAGUACAGUAAUGUAAGCUAGUCUUUACAAAAAAGAGAAAAAAAUACAUUCUUGAUCAAAAUAUUUUAUACUUCAGUGAUAAACUGAGAAUGUUUUUUUUAAAGGGGACUUUAUGUAUAUGGGUACUUUGCCUGUAUGUACAUCUGCGUGUCAUCUACAAGCCUAAUGCCAAGGGAGGCCAGAAGAGAGUAUCAGAUCUGCUGGAACUGGAGUUAGGCUUGUGAACUGCAUUGUGGGUACUAGGUAUUGAACCUGAGUUCUCUAGGAAAGUUACCAGUGCUUUUAGCCACUGAACCAUCUCUCCAGCCCAAAAAAAGCUUUAAGAAGUUGGUCUCUGCCUGACAGCAGAAGUCAGUAGAGGUCACUGUUCCAUGGUCUGUGUUACCCUUUGCAUUGAUGCCCUCAGCUGGAACUGCCUACAGGACAGGAGACAGACAUGAGUCAGGAACACAUCUGGUCUGUUACUCUACCCGUGAAAGCUUCUGCCAAGUAAAAGACCUGUCUUCGUAGCAUGAAAUUAGAAAUAAAUUCAUCUUUCUCAGAUCUAUUUUCCAUCUUCUCCAGGACAAAGCUUAGUCCUUCAUCUUUCUUCACAAGUUUUUAUGUCAGCUACUUCUUGAUCUAAAUGAGACCGUUCCGAUCUGUGACCCAUUUUCUCCAUCUGCCAUCUUUGUCACUGACUGCUGAGGAAUGCUCUGAUUGUGUCCUCACUGAUUGUUUUGUCACCUCUGGGAUCAAGAGUAGUCACAGGAGCCUUGAGAAGCCUUUCCAGUGGUGAGAUCACUUCUGACAGAGAUGUGAAGACUGGAGGUAGUGUCCAUGACACAGAACUGACCUGGAAGUUGUUUGCUGUGGUCUUGCUCUCCUGGCUUUCACUCAGCAGUACUGACUUUGGCUCUCCCAGCAGAGAACUGGAACUGUGAGCAUUGGUCUCACUCACUUUGAGGUGAUUCGAAGACUUAAGUUGGAUUAAAAACGUUGAUGAAGUUACUUAACCUAUAUUAAACUUGAUUGAUAAACUUACAAAUUGCUUGUGGUUA